ensembl:rRNA 5S_rRNA 5S ribosomal RNA
GCCGGCAGCCAACUUUCUGCAACUUUCAUGUGGUUGCCCACUGAAGUUAUGUAGGGCUGCGCCUGGUCAGUACCUGGAUGGGAGAUCACAUGGGAAAACUAAGUUGCUGCCGGAA